AAAACCAAUUCACCCCCCCACCUCUUGGCUUGUCAUCUUGGGCAACAAGUGGUAUCAGAGCGAGGUGCUCAUAUAGUAUUUGUUGAUCUCACAAUCAAGAGACAAAGAUCAUGACAACCCAAAUGGGAUGUUCUAUGAGUGAGGGGCAAUCCACAAAUAGACCUCGUCUAUUUAAUGGCACUAAUUACACAUACUGGAAAGCUAGGAUGAGGAUAUUCAUUCAAGCUCUAGACUAUGAAUUGUGGUAUAUUAUAACUAGAGGACCUCAUACACCCACAAUUAGUGUAGAGGGCACUAUCAUACCCAAACCAGAAAUGGAUUGGAAUGAAAGUGAUAGAAGACUAGCACAACUAAAUGCUAAAGCGAUUAAUGUACUUUACUGUUCACUAGAUGUAAGUGAAUUCAAUAGAAUAUCUACAUGCAUCUCCGCAAAAGAAAUUUGGGAUAAACUUGAG
rnacentral:lncRNA from 1 species